rnacentral:rRNA from 1 species
GAUGAACGCUGGCGGCGUGCCUAAUACAUGCAAGUCGAGCGAACGGACGAGAAGCUUGCUUCUCUGAUGUUAGCGGCGGACGGGUGAGUAACACGUGGAUAACCUACUUCUAAGACUGGGAUAACUUCGGGAAACCGCAGCUACUACCGGAUAAUAUUUUGAACCGCUUGGUUCAAAAGUGCUAGACGGUUUUGCUGUCACUUAUAGAUGGAUCCGCGCUGCAUUAGCUAGUUGGUAAGGUAACGGCUUACCAAGGCAACGAUGCAUAGCCGACCUGAGAGGAUGAUCGGCCACACUGGAACUGAGACACGGUCCAGACUCCUACGGGAGGCAGCAGUAGGGAAUCUUCCGCAAUGGGCGAAAGCCUGACGGAGCAACGCCGCGUGAGUGAUGAAGGUCUUCGGAUCGUAAAACUCUUUUAUUAGGGAAGAAAAUAUGUGUAAGUAACUGUGCACAUCUUGACGGUACCUAAUCAGAAAGCCACGGCUAACUACGUG